GUGGGGAAUCUUCCGCAAUGGACGAAAGUCUGACGGAGCAACGCCGCGUGAGUGAAGAAGGUUUUCGGAUCGUAAAGCUCUUUCGUUAGGGACGAACGUGCUCUUUGUGAAUAAUGAGGAGUAAUGACGGUACCUAAAUAAGAAGCCACGGCUAACUACGUGCCAGCAGCCGCGGUAAUACGUAGGUGGCAAGCGUUGUCCGGAAUUAUUGGGCGUAAAGCGCGCGCAGGCGGGAUAUCAAGUCUGUCUUAAAAGUGCGAGGCUCAACCUCGUGAGGGGACAGAAACUGGUAUUCUUGAGUGUCGGAGAGGAAAGUGGAAUUCCAAGUGUAGCGGUGAAAUUCGUAGAGAUUUGGAAGAACACCAGUGGCGAAGGCGACUUUCUGGACGAUGUCUGACGCUGAGGCGCGAAAGCUAGGGGAGCGAACGGGAUUAGAUACCCGAGUAGUCC
rnacentral:rRNA from 1 species